rfam:Picea glauca, whole genome shotgun sequence.
ACAUGCUUACAUCAUGGCAUUAAUGCAAUGGAUCUCAUUAGAACUCCAAAAUUAAGCAUUCUUGGGAUAGAGUACUACUGGGAUGGGUGACCGCCUAGGAAGUCCUAGUGUCUUACAUGUC